rnacentral:rRNA from 1 species
AUUGAACGCUGGCGGCGGGCUUAACACAUGCAAGUCGAGCGGAGCGAGGGUGCUUGCACCUUAGCUUAGCGGCGGACGGGUGAGUAAUGCUUAGGAAUCUGCCUAUUAGUGGGGGACAACAUUCCGAAAGGAAUGCUAAUACCGCAUACGCCCUACGGGGGAAAGCAGGGGAUCUUCGGACCUUGCGCUAAUAGAUGAGCCGAAGUCGGAUUAGCUAGUUGGUGGGGUAAAGGCCUACCAAGGCGACGAUCUGUAGCGGGUCUGAGAGGAUGAUCCGCCACACUGGGACUGAGACACGGCCCAGACUCCUACGGGAGGCAGCAGUGGGGAAUAUUGGACAAUGGGCGGAAGCCUGAUCCAGCCAUGCCGCGUGUGUGAAGAAGGCCUUUUGGUUGUAAAGCACUUUAAGCGAGGAGGAGGCUACUUAGAUUAAUACUCUGGGAUAGUGGACGUUACUCGCAGAAUAAGCACCGGCUAACUCUGUGCCAGCAGCCGCAGUAACAC